AACGGUUAGCGGUACAAAAUUACAGGGAAGGGGAAACUCACCAGGGGAUUUUUGGAGGGCUCCACAUCCCGCUUUGUGAUGCUUUCAAAAAAAGGAAACAAGCAGAUGACAAGGGAAGAAGCAGGCAUGGAGUGUGUGUGUACGCAGGUACAUGUUACAGUUUAUGUACAGUAAUCUGUGUGUACUUUUGUUCUCAGACGUUAGUCGCCGACUCCCCACAGGCAGCGUAAGUGCCCUGUUAAAUCUGCGCCCAGCCCGGGGAGAGGCGAAGUCGGGGAAGAAACGAGUCGCUUGAAGAUGGCUCCAUCACCCCGGAGCACCGACGCGCACGACGGCAAAUCGUCUGCCGACGAUUACUCUGAUGACGGGCGAUGGAGGCCGAGGCAUCUCCACAAGCAGAGGAGGCGAGCCUAAUGUUAGAUACCGUGGUUCGCUGCUGCACGGCAGGAGGAGAGUUGAUCACAGAAUGGACUAAGGUCCCUGCGAAACAAUAAUGGAAUCUUCGUGUUACUCCAGGAUCCUCCCAUCCUGUUGUUAACUAGUCCUAAUGUAUGGACCCCCUGGGCUACAACGGUGAGGACCUCACCUGUGCUCCUGGCCAUAACAGCUGGUACAAUAAGACUGGACCUGAAUGGAAACAAUGGGGAGGUUGAAGCCUGGCUCAUUCUCUGCCUCCUUAUCCUCCCUCCCACACCCUGAGUUGCUUCUCUUUCCUGCCGGACCACGACGGACGGAAAACAAGCUUUUUUAGCUCUAUCGAGCGAUUGCUCCGCGCAAAUAAUCAAGACUGUGAUUCCUCUGAUCUAUUUAAAAACUUUUUGAUCGAACAUUUUCAAUCUAAUUGUUUUUCCUCCUCUUCACGUGGCAGAACCAGUCUGUGCAAUGCUGCGGUAUGUGUCUCUGAUG